GAUGAACGCUGGCGGCGUGCCUAAUACAUGCAAGUCGAGCGAACGGACGAGAAGCUUGCUUCUCUGAUGUUAGCGGCGGACGGGUGAGUAACACGUGGAUAACCUACCUAUAAGACUGGGAUAACUUCGGGAAACCGGAGCUAAUACCGGAUAAUAUUUUGAACCGCAUGGUUCAAAAGUGAAAGACGGUCUUGCUGUCACUUAUAGAUGGAUCCGCGCUGCAUUAGCUAGUUGGUAAGGUAACGGCUUACCAAGGCAACGAUGCAUAGCCUACCUGAGAGAGUGAUCGGACACACUGGAACUGAGACACGGUCCAGACGCCGACGGGAGGCAGCAGUAGGGAAUCUUCCGCAAUGGGCGAAAGCCUGACGGAGCAACGCCGCGUGAGUGAUGAAGGUCUUAGGAUCGUAAACUCUGUUAUUAGGGAAGAACAUAUGUGUAAGUAACUGUGCACAUCUUGAAGGUACCUAAUCAGAAAGCCACGGCUAACUACGUG
rnacentral:rRNA from 1 species